rnacentral:sRNA from 1 species
UCCUUGCAACGAAAAAGAUCGGACGAUAC